AACUUUGUGCAGUGGCAUCAUUGUAGCUAAUAAGAUUUAUCCAAGGUGCAAUUAUUGAUAAUUGAAAACUUUUCCCAAAACUUC
ensembl:snRNA U4 U4 spliceosomal RNA